rnacentral:tRNA from 1 species
GAAGCUGUGGCGGAAUUGGUAGACGCGCUACUUUCAGACGGUAGUGUUUUUACGUGUGAGUUCGAGUCUCAUCAGCUUCA